GGAGAGGUCGCAUAGUGGCCUAGUGCGGCGGUUUCGAAAACCGCUGUCCGAGUUCUUCGGACCGGGAGUUCGAAUCUCCCCCUCUCCG
rnacentral:tRNA from 1 species